rnacentral:rRNA from 1 species
CCCUUAGAUGUUCUGGGCCGCACGCGCGCUACACUGAUGCAUUCAACGAGUCUAAAACCUGCUCUGAUAGGGGUGGGUAAUCUUUUGAAUGCGCAUCGUGAUUGGGAUAGAUGAUUGAAAUUUUUCAUCUUCAACGAGGAAUGCCUAGUAAACGCAAGUCAUCAGCUUGCAUUGAUUACGUCCCUGCCCUUUGUACACACCGCCCGUCGCUCCUACCGAUUGAAUGAUCCGAUGAAUAUCAUGGAUUGAGGAUGCAAGUAGGUUCACCUAUCUUCAUCUUCGAGAAGUGAAGUAAAUCUUAUCAUUUAGAGGAAGGAGAAGUCGUAACA